GAUGAACGCUAGCGGCAGGCCUAACACAUGCAAGUCAGGGGUAACAUAGAAAAGCUUGCUUUUCUGAUGACGACCGGCGCACGGGUGCGUAACGCGUAUACAACCUACCUUUUAGCGGGGAAUAGCCCAGGGAAACUUGGAUUAAUGCCCCAUAGUAUAUAGACUUCUCCUGAAGUUUAUAUUAAACAUUUAUGGCCAUUAGAUGGGUAUGCGCCCUAUUAGCUAGUUGGUGUGGUAACGGCACACCAAGGCUACGAUAGGUAGGGGUCCUGAGAGGGAGAUCCCCACACUGGUACUGAGACACGGACCAGACUCCUACGGGAGGCAGCAGUGAGGAAUAUUGGACAAUGGGCGAGAGCCUGAUCCAGCCAUGCCGCGUGCAGGAAGACUGCCCUAUGGGUUGUAAACUGUCUUUUACAGAGGAAGAACCACCCCACGUGUGGGGGUUUGACGGUACUCUGCGAAUAAGGAUCGGCUAACUCCGUG
rnacentral:rRNA from 1 species